rnacentral:misc_RNA from 1 species
GUUUAUCAUGUUAAAUCACAAAAUGAUAACUUCUUUAUCUAACGAGAAUCUUUUAGUCAAUUAUACAUUGGAUAUGUUUCUUCUUUUUUCUUUCACUUUUCCUUUUUUCUUUUUCUUUCACAAUAUUUUCCCUGGAAAAUUGCAAAUCUCAAAUAUGCCACAACACAGCAUAUGCACAUGCUGCAUUAGGGCCUGACAACAAGCCAUUCAUUUACCUAAGCAAUACAUCAAACCAUUUCUAAGGUAAAAAGACUUGUGAAGUGUAAUUGGAUAUUAUCCCAAUUCCAGAGAUAUUUGGCUUUCAAAAUUAAGGCAUGAAGCCUAACCACAGCAACAAUCUCAAUUUCAUAGCGUGGUUUAGAUGUUCUACCUUUG